AUGGUGUCUCGUGUAAACGGAAUUUGGUCAGCUCUUCUCAAUGGGUAAUCUUUAUGCGAAAUACACAGGAAGCUGACCUAGCGCCCAACCGUGAUCGCUUCCACUCAAUUACACCUCGGCGUCUGUAUCCCUCUCAAUCCUUGGCCAGUUACUGUACGAGCCAAAUACACUCUGCAUUUUAGGGGCUCUUAACUUCUGAUGCCUCCCUCGGUCUCCGCCGCCACGCCCUCCGACGAUGACGAGGAUCGCGGUGCACCCGCUGAAAUUUCAGAUGCCGAUGGCGACGAAAAAGAAGAACCGGAAUAUGAAGAAGUGGAAGAAGAUGGUGAUGUUGAAGAAUACGAAGAAUAUGUUGAAGAAGUUGAAGAGGUUGAAGAAGAAGAAGACGAAGAACUAGAGGAAGUGGAAGAAGAAGAAGAAGAAGAAGAAGAAGAAGAAGAAGAAGUAGUAGUAGUGGAAGUGAAGGAGAAAAAGGUGGAUCAGAAGGACGAGGUGAAUGCGUCAGAUUCUUCAAUUGAAGUCGAUGAGGAUCCUAACGAUGUUAGUCGAGAUAUGGAGUUUGAGGGGCAUGACAGGCUACUGAGAUCGAGUUCUUAUACCCUAGAAAAAUCUGAAGUGAAGAUCUCACCUGAGUACAUUGCUAUAGAGGAAAGUAAUGGUAAUUCCAAAUUUUCUAGUCAUUCAAAUGAGCCAUUGACAACACAAAAGGAAGAACUGGAUUUGAACUAUGCGGAUUCAAAAUAUAUAGAAUUGGGAAAAGAUAUGGUUCCAGAAGACAAGGUCUUUAAAGAUUGUAGUGAAUCACAUUGUGAUAGCAAGGCUUUUUCAUGCACUGAGGACAUUAUCGAUGCUGAAACCCACCUUUUUAGCAGCACAAGAAAUGAUAUGGCUAAUGCUUUCCCAAUGAAAGAUCACUUAGGUGAGGAGGCCAAUGGUGUUUUGAAUACUAGGGAAGAAAUUAAGCAAAUGGACUUGCAAUCAGGGCAUGACAAAAAUCAAAUGGAAUCAAGGUUUUUCAGAUUGGCUACUCCAGAUACAAGGACUAGAAGUCUGUCCCCUGGUGCUGAGAUUAAGGAAGGAAACGUACGCCCGUCUGUUAUUUGUGACUUUUUUGCACAAGGGUGGUGCAUCAGAGGUAGUUCAUGUAGGUUUCUUCAUAUAAAAGGUAACUUGAAUAAUACCACCCAAAAGUCCGAGGUAGAAGCAGAUGCUGUGAAUUGGAAAAAAGUUCAGGUGGACAAAGGUUUGAGGGACAUUACAGAGAGAUCAAGGUCGCCUGGUUUUCCUGAGCCACAGGAAUCUUCAGUUGGAAAUACCCUGGAUUUUUCUUUACACUUCUCUUCAGAAACAAUCCUGCCAAGGGAGUUUGGAGAAAGCCAAAGGUGGCAUCAGUUUCAUAAAAAACAUAAACUUCCAUUGGUUGAGAAAGAGGACUUGUCUUCGUGCAUUAAUCCCGACUCCCAGCAUUUGCCUUCGUCUAAAGACGAUCCGGUCUCUGUCUUGUUUAAGGAUGCAGGGGGAGAGAGUCGGACAGAAAACUGGCCUGCAAAUAAUUAUGGUGACCAUGCUUCGUCAAACAGUAGAGGUAGUUCGGUAGUAAAGAACAACUUGCUUCCCAAGUAUGGAUUUUCUUCAAGUAGCCCUGUUCUUUUGUCACGCAAUUACCACAGUGAGAUCUUCUCUUCUCAUUCUCUACAGAGCCAGCAUGUGCAGAGUGACUGUAAUUCACCACUUAGGAUCCAUUCUCUGAAUUCAAGCUCAGAUACUUUUCUUCCGAGUACUGGCAUGCUGCCAUCUCACCGUAUCUCUUCCUGGGGAGCAUCUUCGUUGCCCUUUAGUUAUUCCUCUUUCAGUACAAGUUCUCUUGGUGCUCAAAGGCUGUUGAAGAGUGAGAAAGAAUGCCAUGCUUCUGGAUCAUCUUCCUUGCUGAUUAGUUAUUCUCCCUUCUCUGGUUCUAAAUCAGAAAAUCUACCUCUAGCCAAUGUACCAUUGCACUGUGCUGAACAUAAAACAAAAUUUUCUUCAAAUGAUUGGGAGCCUUCUGUACCUUUCCGACCAUCUUUUUUUAUUCCUCCGAUUGGUAUAUCAUCUCCAGAUCGCCAAUAUGAUCCUCUUCAUGAUAGCAUUGAGCUACCCAAGAUAGUAGAUCAAUCCUUUAGAGUUUCUCUUGACAGUCAUGGGGCAUCCAUGGACACAUUGCUCCAGAGGAAAUAUGGUAAUCCUGCAUUAACUGCGAUGCAGGGCCUAGAAUGUCACAAUGAUACAACUUCUGUAUCUUCUCAUAAUAAAGUUUAUGAGAAUGUGUUAGAAAAACACCAUCAUGGAAGAGAUUCUCUUAAAACUGAAGCAGAGACAGUUGGAACUUCUGCUGUUGACCGGAAAAAUGGGAUGAUGCCUAAAGAAGGGAAUCCCUUGGGCUUUUCUCAUGUCAAUGAUAGGACAAAAAGGAGCAAGCUCAAUGAUGAUCAUGCUUUAAGUCAUCAAAAUGAUGCAUCAGGACAUCAGGACUUAAAAGUAAGUAGGGGCGGACAAGACAAUGAAAUGGAUGUUGGGCAUAAGACAGAUGGAAAUAUUCACGGUGAACCAAAAGCACUGAGACAUUUUCGUGCUGCCCUUAUAGAUUUAGUUAAAGAGUUAUUGAAACCAAAUUGGCGUGAUGGCCAUCUCAGCAAGGAUGCACAUAACAUGAUAGUAAAAAAAGUGGUAGACAAGGUUCUUAAAACCUUACAAUCCCAUCAAGUUCCAACCACCUUGGAAUCAGUGAAGCAAUAUCUCUCUUCAUCACGUCCAAAAAUUGUUAAACUUGUUGAGGGAUAUGUUGAGAAAUACGGCAAAUCUUUAAGGCUCUAGGCUGAGUGCUUUUUUUGUACAGUAUCAGCUUUUGCAGUUGGUGUAACUGCACAACAUUACCUGCAAGGGUAGAGAAAUGACUGGAAUAGUUUCUGGUCAAACCAAGAGCUUUCUGCAGUGUGCUUCUUAUUUCCCCAGUUUCUCACUUUGUGAUUUGGUUUAUCAGAGAUGUUCAUGCCUCGGAUCUUGUCACCUGAUCUGCUGCUGUUGCGAUGGGUUGCUGCUGGUAACAAGCCUUGGGCCGACUGAGCUGUCACAUGAUUCACAUCAGAUUCAUCGUGACCAUUGGAAAGCAACGGAUCAGCUGGGAAAUAUUUGAUUGAAUCAGUAACAGCCAAGUCUUGUCUAGUGCGCCAAAAUUCAAAUUUCUGGGUCUUUUUUAUUCGGUUGGCACUGAUGGUAUGAGGUGAUUUAGAUUGCUGAUCUUGAACACAUACGAGGCCAGCAAAGGAGAGUGAGUGCCGAAUUGUUGUCUGCUGCGGCAUCCACGGAAAUCUUGUUUUGCAGGUGAGUUGCCAUUGAUUCUGCGACACACUUGGUUUGCUAGAGUUAGGGCAUAUCAUAGCACUGGAUGAUGGGAAAUUUGGAAGGUAAAAAGUAAACCACAUUCAAAUUGCCCUGUCCUAGUCAUUACAAGCAUCUUGAAUUGCGUUCAUCUUUUUGGCGGACAUACCAAAGAAUGGUGGCGUAGUUUUAUGUUGAGCCUGUUACUUAUUAUUCUAAAAAACUAAGCUUAGUAUGUUUUAAAUUCGUACUU